UUGUGUUUGGUGUUGUGUUGGUGUGUGGUGGGUUUUUUGGUUUUUUUGUGUUUGGUUGGACUCAAUGAUCUCAGAGGUCCCUUCCAACCAUGAAGAUUCUGUGACUCUGCAUCUUCUGUGAGUGGAGCUGGUGCCAUUGGGAAAACAGCCCAGGAAGGGUGUCUGUGGGUGUCAGGAUGCGUGAGAACCGCCCUGGGUUGUUUUAUUGUGGCUGUUGGGCACAAAAAAAUGCUUCCUCUCUUUCUUAAAUCUUGCCUUGCAGAUAUCCUUGCAGCAGUAGGACCACCAGUCUGCCUCUUCUCACAUCCCAGCAGACAGAAACUGUCUUCCAAAGGAAACCAGAACCAGUCUGUGAAGCCCUGAUCUUCUAGGUCUCAAAAGGGAUGGCAGGAGCUUUGCAGUUCACCUGUUGGAUGAGUGUACCUCGUACAAGUGUACCCGUUAGACUACCAGGAAAUGAAGAUGAGAAAUUUCCAAGAAAUCUGCGGUCCUACACAUCAGCCACGGGUUGCACGGGACAGCUGAAGGCCCUGUGAUUCAGGUUGGAGUCAGCAUGAAUCUGCUGCCCUGUGAAUGCCAGGAGCUCAGCCACAAUCCUACUACGCUGCACAACCAACAGAAAGUCAUUGGGACAAUGUGUGACACCAGCAGCCUCUUGAUUUCGUUCAUUCCAGCAUUGGGCUCAUUCGCUCUGAAGACUGCACGAGCUGCUGAGCAACUACUGUCCUUGUCCUUGGGAGGCCAAGCUCAACAGCACGAGGUACAUGGUUCCAGCCCAGUUUGCAGUGUCAUUCAUCUGCAGUGACAGAUGUCUGCUGCCUUCCUUGCUACCUUCAUAUCUUCAAGCAUGAAGAAAGAAACCCUCCACCUUCCAGUGUUCUCCAUCUGUUUGGCACCCGUAUAACAAAAGCCUGCCAGCUAUAACACAACACACCAGGAACUCUGCGAUGAAAAUCCCAGUCGUUACCUGAGUCCAUGGCUUUUUCUCUCCUACCCAACCUGCUUUUCCUAAAA
rnacentral:lncRNA from 1 species